rnacentral:rRNA from 1 species
GAUGAACGCUGGCGGCGUGCCUAAUACAUGCAAGUCGAGCGAACGGACGAGGAGCUUGCUUCUCUGAUGUUAGCGGCGGACGGGUGAGUAACACGUGGAUAACCUACCUAUAAGACUGGGAUAACGUCGGGAAACCGUAUCUAAUACCGGAUAAUAGUUUGAACCGCAGGGUUCAAAAGUGAAAGACGGUCUUGCUGACACUUAUAGAUGGAUCCGCGCUGCAUUAGCUAGUUGGUAAGGUAACGGCUUACCAAGGCAACGAUGCAUAGCCGACCUGAGAGGGUGAUCGGCCACACUGGAACUGAGACACGGUCCAGACUCCUACGGGAGGCAGCAGUAGGGAAUCUUCCGCAAUGGGCGAAAGCCUGACGGAGCAACGCCGCGUGAGCGAUGAAGGUCUUCGGAUCGUAAAACUCUGUUAUUAGGGAAGAACAUAUGUGUAAGUAACUGUGCACAUCUUGACGGUACCUAAUCAGAAAGCCACGGCUAACUACGUG